CGGUAUUUCUUGAUAUUCAUUUGCCGGAUCCCCCUGCUGAUCCGGAUGGUUACCCUCUUCAAACCGGUUUAUCUCUUCUUCUUCCCUCAAAGCUUCUUCUCUCGCAGCAUUCCCCUCACCGCGGGGCACAAUCGGACCUCUCUCAAACCUUUUCUCAAAGUAUGAUAAAGCUAGAGGACGGACGGGAUGUAAGUCACCUUCUUGCACAUUCAUGGGGACAUUGCUUGCUCUACACAAAGCAGCAAUUAAGUUGCAAUGCCCCAAAGUAAAAGUCGGAUUAUUAUUAUUUGCCAUUUCAUGUAAAUCCCUUUGUAACCAAAGACCAAGAUCGAUAUGGCGACCCUCAACUAACAACCGAACAGCAGCAACAUUAUCAAUCUGAAUUUCAGAGUUAUUACCAACCACCCGGACAUUCUUCAGCCAGAAUUCUCCCCAAGCACGGUGAAUAGGGUUAAAACUCGUCAAACUCAACCUAGUAGGAAGGGAUGAAGCGGAGUGCGGCAGCCAUCUAGCUCCAGGCCUGCAAACAACCGCCUUUAACUCUUCUCUUACCGCAAGGCCACCGUUAGAAAUUCGUUCCUU
rnacentral:lncRNA from 1 species